GCUAAUGCGUGGUAUUAUGCCGUGGUGAUGGCUCGGACGGAUCAGCUGAUCCUGUGUGUGUCCUUGUCCAGGUUCCUGGGUUGCUGCCUUGCUCUACUCUACCGACGUUAGGUGGUGCCGGUACAACAGCCUGAUGGAUAGAAAGGCUAGGCCAGUUUUCAUUGUCCACGUGGCUAACCCGGUAAUACAGAUAUCUCACUCGUUUGCCUUCCAUGUGAGCGAAGUGAUUCCUCAAGUUCAGGUUGAACAAGUGAAUAUCGGUUUGCAAGCACGAGAGCAAGGGGUCGAAAAGAAGAGGAAAGAACCACCAUAAAUCGGAGGGCUAUAUUGUGGUGGAUAAGGCUGAUGGGCAUUGAUGAAUUGCAUAUGGAGCUUAUAGCAUGGCAAGGGAGAACCUUGAUUUAUGUCUGUGUUACAUCAUGUACCGGUAAUGUUUCAUGUUGUGUUGGACCACCAAAUUUUCAGAAAUAUAAGCAUUAAGUAUCAGAGCUUUCUCUUUCUCAGCAUGACAAUUGAUGUAGUUGUGAAUGAAUCAUAGUUUAGAUGAAUAUAUAUUGAAGCUGGACUGAAUAAUUUUGUAGCUUGCCCCUAGCCCCUAACUGCAUGUGCACAUGUACAUGCAAAAUUCUGUAGCGUGUUUUACCUUUGAGUUAAAGGGAUCAGGUAAAAAGUAGAUGUAAGAAUAUAAAUUUCAUAACAUAUACAAAUUCCAAAUUUAUAUUCA